GAUGAACGCUGGCGGCGUGCCUAAUACAUGCAAGUCGAGCGAACGGAUGAGGAGCUUGCUCCUCUGACGUUAGCGGCGGACGGGUGAGUAACACGUGGAUAACCUACCUAUAAGACUGGGAUAACUUCGGGAAACCGGAGCUAAUACCGGAUAAUAUAUUGAACCGCAUGGUUCAAUAGUGAAAGACGGUUUUGCUGUCACUUAUAGAUGGAUCCGCGCCGCAUUAGCUAGUUGGUAAGGUAACGGCUUACCAAGGCAACGAUGCGUAGCCGACCUGAGAGGGUGAUCGGCCACACUGGAACUGAGACACGGUCCAGACUACUACGGGAGGCAGCAGUAGGGAAUCUUCCGCAAUGGGCGAAAGCCUGACGGAGCAAUGCCGCGUGAGUGAUGAAGGUCUUCGGAUCGUAAAACUCUGUUAUUAGGGAAGAACAAAUGUGUAAGUGACUAUGCACGUCUUGACGGUACCUAAUCAGAAAGCCACGGCUAACUACGUG
rnacentral:rRNA from 1 species